rnacentral:rRNA from 1 species
GGACUACACGGGUAUCUAAUCCUGUUUGCUCCCCAUGCUGUCGCGCAUCAGUGUCAGGUACGGCCCAGCGUGUCGCCUUCGCCACUGGUGUUCCUCCGGAUCUCUACGCAUUUCACCACUACACCCGGAAUUCCACACGCCUCUACCGUCCUCGAGUUCCGCAGUAUCCGACGACCUGCCUCGGUUAAGCCGAGAUAUUUCACGCCAGACUUACAAAACCACCUACACGCCCUUUACGCCCAGUAACUCCGGAUAACGUUUGUCUCCUACGUUUUACCGCGGCUGCUGGCAC